AGAACGAACGCUGGCGGCAGGCUUAACACAUGCAAGUCGAACGCUCGUGGCAACACGGGAGUGGCAGACGGGUGAGUAACACGUGGGAACGUACCCUUCGGUUCGGAAUAACUUGGGGAAACUCAAGCUAAUGCCGGAUACGAGCGCAAGCUGAAAGGUUUACCGCCGAAGGAUCGGCCCGCGUCUGAUUAGCUAGUUGGUGAGGUAACGGCUCACCAAGGCGACGAUCAGUAGCUGGUCUGAGAGGAUGAUCAGCCACAUUGGGACUGAGACACGGCCCAAACUCCUACGGGAGGCAGCAGUGGGGAAUAUUGGACAAUGGGCGCAAGCCUGAUCCAGCCAUGCCGCGUGAGUGAUGACGGCCCUAGGGUUGUAAAGCUCUUUUACCUGGGACGAUAAUGACGGUACCAGGAGAAUAAACCCCGGCUAACUUCGUGCCAGCAGCCGC
rnacentral:rRNA from 1 species